rnacentral:rRNA from 1 species
GCAUAUCAAUAAGCGGAGGAGAAAAAACUAACAAGGAUUCCCCUAGUAACGGCGAGUGAAGCGGGAUGAGCUCAAAUUUGAAAGCUGGCACCUUUGGUGUCCGCAUUGUAAUCUCGAGAAGUAGUUUCUGUGCCGGACCAUGUACAAGUUCCUUGGAAUAGGACAUCAGAGAGGGUGAGAAUCCCGUACUUGACAUGGACCCCGGUGCUUUGUGAUCUGCUCUCUAUGAGUCGAGUUGUUUGGGAAUGCAGCUCAAAAUGGGUGGUAAAUUCCAUCUAAAGCUAAAUAUUGGGGAGAGACCGAUAGCGAACAAGUACCGUGAGGGAAAGAUGAAAAGCACUUUGGAAAGAGAGUUAAACAGUACGUGAAAUUGUCAAAAGGGAAGCGCUUGAGGUUAGACAUGCAUGCAGUAUUCAACCUUUCUUUUGGGAUUGGCGUAUUUGCUGUUGUGCAGGCCAGCAUCGGUUUUGUCUGCUGGAUAAUAGUAGGAGAAAUGUGGCAUCUUCGGAUGUGUUAUAGUCUCGUAUUGGAUACAGUGGAUGGGACCGAGGACCGCAGUGUGCCGUAAGGCGGCUCUUCGGAGACCUUCGCACUUAGGAUGCUGGCGUAAUGGCCUUAAGCGGCCCGUCUUGAAACACGGACCAAGGAGUCUAACAUAUUUGCGAGUCUUUGGGUGGCAAACCCAUAGGCGUAAUGAAAGUGAAUGCAGGUGGGAUCCUUCUUUAUGGAGGUGCACCAUCGACCGAUCCGGAAUUUCUAGGAUGGAUUUGAGUACGAGCACAUAUGUUGGGACCCGAAAGAUGGUGAACUAUGCCUGAAUAGGGCGAAGCCAGAGGAAACUCUGGUGGAGGCUCGUAGCGAUUCUGACGUGCAAAUCGAUCGUCAAAUUUGGGUAUAGGGGCGAAAGACUAAUCGAACCAUCUAGUAGCUGGUCCUGCG